rnacentral:rRNA from 1 species
AUGCAAUGGUGGGAUGAGUGGAAGCUGCGCGUCCUCGUCUUGUGCAGCCUCUCCGUCCAGUUCUUCCUCUACUUCUCUGGUUGGGUGCGUCUAGUAGCAAAGCUACGAAGGUUGAGGGUGCUGGUGUGGAUGGCGCACAUAGGGGGGGAUGCCCUGGCGGUCUACGCUCUUGCCACCCUUUCAACCGCCAAAAGCAGCGAACUGCGGAUGAGGGGAGCGACGCUCUGGAGCUCAUAUGGGUGCCUAUCCUCCUCAUUCACCUCGGCGGCCAGUCCAGUAGUGCCUACAGCCUUGAGGACAACGAGCUAUGGAAGCGGCAUGCCAUAA